GACGUAGGGGGCCAGCGUUGUUCGGAAUUACUGGGCGUAAAGCGCACGUAGGCGGCUUUCUAAGUCGGGGGUGAAAUCCUGGAGCUCAACUCCAGAACUGCCUUCGAUACUGGAGAGCUCGAGUCCGGGAGAGGUGAGUGGAACUGCGAGUGUAGAGGUGAAAUUCGUAGAUAUUCGCAAGAACACCAGUGGCGAAGGCGGCUCACUGGCCCGGUACUGACGCUGAGGUGCGAAAGCGUGGGGAGCAAACAGG
rnacentral:rRNA from 1 species